rnacentral:ncRNA from 1 species
CAUCAAGAGCUGUGGAGGGAUUGGCCCGAUGAUGCAGCAGCAACCUUCAGUGAAUGAAAGGUGCUAAAUCCAACAGUGUAGCGUACUGAAAGAUG